rnacentral:rRNA from 1 species
UACGGAGGGUGCAAGCGUUAUCCGGAUUCACUGGGUUUAAAGGGCGCGUAGGCGGUAGCACAAGUCAGUUGUGAAAUCUCCGGGCUUAACUCGGAAAGGUCAACUGAUACUGUGCGACUAGAGUGCAGAAGGGGCAACUGGAAUUCUCGGUGUAGCGGUGAAAUGCGUAGAUAUCGAGAGGAACACCUGCGGCGAAGGCGGGUUGCUGGGCUGACACUGACGCUGAGGCGCGAAAGCCAGGGGAGCGAACGGG